rnacentral:rRNA from 1 species
UACGUAGGGUGCAAGCGUUGUCCGGAAUUAUUGGGCGUAAAGAGCUCGUAGGCGGUUCGUCGCGUCGGCUGUGAAAACCCGAGGCUCAACCUCGGGCCUGCAGUCGAUACGGGCGGACUGGAGUUCGGCAGGGGAGACUGGAAUUCCUGGUGUAGCGGUGAAAUGCGCAGAUAUCAGGAGGAACACCGGUGGCGAAGGCGGGUCUCUGGGCCGAUACUGACGCUGAGGUGCGAAAGCGUGGGAGCAAACAGG